GUCAUGAUCCAGUUAGCCACUCUGUGGCCUGACAUAAAGGCACAAAUCACAGAAGACACAGACACAGCUUGGUACAGCAUGGUGACCAGGGACUGAGGCAGAAAGGGAGGUGACAUAAAAUUCAGGAGUCAUCCAAGUAUACCUUUCAAUGGUUCCCCACCAACACUGGCCGCCUUGGAGUUGUCCUGGCAAGUGGGAAAUGUAUGGAUCUUAGUUUCUGGCAUGGACCUUAAGGACUGGUCACACAAGAGACAGAGUGCAAGAUUCCUGAGAGAACAUUUAAGCAUUGAUGACCAGAGAAGGUGGAUAGAGAUGGAGGACAUGCAUACAGGUAGAAAGAGCUGUUCUGGAUAUGGGGAGAACAACUUCACACUAGAGUUUCCCUCCACACAUCCAACGUUCAAGAAACUGCCUUUGCUGGAGAGUGUGGGAAACAGAGUCUGAUCCACCUACUGCAGGGGAAAACCAGGGUAUGACAGUCAUGAGGAGGGUUUUCAGAGGUGACAUUUGGGCAAAGUCAAGUAGGACAAU
rnacentral:lncRNA from 1 species